GGUUAAUGGAGUCCUGCUUUGGGACAGAGGCUAUGCCUGCAUGCUGUACCUGCUCACACCCUACCCAGAUCCAGGAACAGAGGCGGAGAGGGCCUUCAACCAUGCCCACACAAAAACGAGGGCACGGAUAGAGAUGACCUUUAGCCAACUGAAAUCCAGGUUCCAGUGCCUGAAAGGCUUCAGGGUUACUCCUGACCAGGCAUGUGAACAUAGCCAUUGCCUGUGCAGUCUUGCACAACAUUGCAACUAUACGCCGGGAGAGACUUCCCACAAUGUUAGUGGAGGAGCAAUGGGAGGACAUCGACCUUCAGGAACCGAUGGAUGAAGGACAGUGAGGGACCUUUACAAGGACACAUAUUUCAGUUAAUCCCCAUUGUGGUGACCUUUGUUUGAGUUAUCCCUUUUUUUCAGAACUUAGCAUGUACUGUAGAAUUUUAAUAAACAUGUGUGCCUAA